UACGAAGGGGGCUAGCGUUGCUCGGAAUUACUGGGCGUAAAGUGUGCGCAGGCGGCCGAGCAAGUCGAGUGUGAAAGCCCCGAGCUUAACUUGGGAACUGCGCUCGAAACUACUUGGCUAGAGUGUGGCAGAGGGAGGUGGAAUUCCACGUGUAGCGGUGAAAUGCGUAGAGAUGUGGAGGAACACCGGUGGCGAAGGCGGGUCUCUGGGCAAUUCCUGACGCUGAGGCGCGAAAGCGUGGGGAGCAAACGGG
rnacentral:rRNA from 1 species